rnacentral:rRNA from 1 species
AGUGAACGCUGGCGGCGUGCUUAACACAUGCAAGUCGAACGAGAACGGAUUAUAGCUUGCUAUAAUUGUCAGCUAAGUGGCGCACGGGUGAGUAAUGUAUAGGUAAUAUGCCUCUUACUAAGGGAUAACAAUUGGAAACGAUUGCUAAUACCUUAUAUUCCAUUUUAUCAAAAGAUAAAAAGGGAAAGAUUUAUUGGUAAGAGAUUAGCCUGUAUUGUAUCAGUUAGUUGGUGGGGUAAUGGCCUACCAAGACGAUGACGCAUAACUGGUUUGAGAGGAUGAUCAGUCACACUGGAACUGAGACACGGUCCAGACUCCUACGGGAGGCAGCAGUGGGGAAUAUUGCACAAUGGACGAAAGUCUGAUGCAGCAACGCCGCGUGGAGGAUGACACAUUUCGGUGCGUAAACUCCUUUUAUAUAAGAAGAUAAUGACGGUAUUAUAUGAAUAAGCACCGGCUAACUCCGUGCCAGCCGCCGCAGUAA